rnacentral:rRNA from 1 species
GUAGGGAAUAUUGGGCAAUGGUCGGAAGACUGACCCAGCCAUGCCGCGUGCAGGAAGACGGCCCUCUGGGUUGUAAACUGCUUUUAUCUGGGAAGAAAAAGGCCAUGCGUGGCAAAUUGCCGGUACCAGAUGAAUAAGCACCGGCUAACUCCGUGCCAGCAGCCGCGGUAAUACGGAGGGUGCGAGCGUUGUCCGGAUUUAUUGGGUUUAAAGGGUGCGUAGGCGGCUGAUUAAGUCAGCGGUGAAAGACUUCGGCUUAACCGGAGCAGUGCCGUUGAUACUGGUUUGCUUGAGUGUCAGAGGUGUACAUGGAAUUGAUGGUGUAGCGGUGAAAUGCAUAGAUACCAUCAGGAACACCGAUAGCGAAGGCAUUGUACUGGCCGACAACUGACGCUGAUGCACGAAAGUGUGGGGAUCGAACAGGAUUAGAAACCCGUGUAGUCC